CAGAAGUAUUUGUAAUAUGCAGUGGAGAAAGCAUUAAAUUAACCUUUCGAGUUAAAGAUAAACUAGAAGUGUCAAACAACGUGUGAUUUAGAGUCUUCUAAUAGAAAUAAACAUUGGCUCCAUUGAGAAGAAAAUGUGCAAGACAUCUGUUGGACUAAGAGGAAUGGCAUUCAGCUGCUGAAGAAUUUUGCAAUUCUGUAAUUAGGCAUAUGAAUUUUAAGAGGUAAAAAUCUCUAGGGCCGUGAGAUAGAUGUGAGUAUAUUUCUUUCCUCUCCCACAGUCCAUGUGGAGGCUCAGCAUUCUUUAGUGACAUCGGGAUUAUUUCACAGGAAAAAGCAUAUCUGCUGGAAAGUGACAGAGGACAGACGGCUGCUUUCAAAAAGAGUCUGAGACAGCUGGUGAGAUCACUGAACCCGGCAGGCAGUAAGGGAGGAAGAGAUGGUUCUUGACCCCGGCAGGGCGGAGGUCAGAGCUGCAGCACCAGAGCUCUCAUGGAACUUCUGCAGGAUGAUACCAGGAAAGCUGAGAUAAACCACAGGCCAUUUGAAGGAACUGGAUUGCCGCUGCAGGCUCCCUGAGAUGCUGAAAACUGUAUUGUAUUAUUUUACAAAUUAAACAUAUGUGGCAACCAGCAUCAAGCAAACUAUUGGCACCGUUUUCCAACAGCGUUGGUAUCUCCGUGUCACAUUUUGUAUUGAAGACAUGCUAGAAACUGUGCAACUCCCUGUCCACAAGGAAUUCACUGUCAAGUAAUAAGCACAUAAUUAUUCCA
rnacentral:lncRNA from 10 species